rnacentral:rRNA from 1 species
GUGUCAGCAGCCGCGGUAAUACGUAGGUGGCAAGCGUUGUCCGGAUUUACUGGGCGUAAAGCGCGCGCAGGCGGACUGGUCAGUCUGGGGUGAAAUCUCACGGCUCAACCGUGAGUGGUCCCUGGAUACUGCCAGCCUUGAGGGGUCUAGAGGAGAGCGGAAUUCCCGGUGUAGUGGUGGAAUGCGUAGAUAUCGGGAAGAACACCAGUGGCGAAAGCGGCUCUCUGGGGACCAUCUGACGCUGAGGCGCGAAAGCGUGGGGAGCGAACCGGAUUAGAUACCCGGGUAGUCC